UUGCCUCAGUAACGGCGAGUGAAGCGGCAAUAGCUCAAAUUUGAAAUCUGACUUCGGUCCGAGUUGUAAUUUGUAGAGGAUGCUUCGGCUUAUGUCUCGGUCUAAGUUCCUUGGAACAGGACGUCACAGAGGGUGAGAAUCCCGUUUGUGGCCGUGACUUCCGCCAUGUGAAGCUCCUUCGACGAGUCGAGUUGUUUGGGAAUGCAGCUCUAAAUGGGAGGUAAAUUUCUUCUAAAGCUAAAUACCGGCCAGAGACCGAUAGCGCACAAGUAGAGUGAUCGAAAGAUGAAAAGCACUUUGGAAAGAGAGUUAAAAAGUACGUGAAAUUGUUGAAAGGGAAGCGUUUGCGACCAGACUUGCCCGCGGAUGCUCAACCGGUCCUUCGGCCGGUGCACUCUUCCGCGGUCAGGCCAGCAUCAGUUCGGGCGGUUGGAUAAAGGCCUUGGGAAUGUGGCUCUCUUCGGGGAGUGUUAUAGCCCUUGGUGCAAUACAACCUGCCUGGACUGAGGCCCGCGCUUCGGCUAGGAUGCUGGCGUAAUGGUCGUAAGCGGCCCGUCUUGAAACACGGACCAAGGAGUCUAACAUCUAUGCGAGUGUUUGGGUGUCAAACCCGUGCGCGAAAUGAAAGUGAACGGAGGUGGGAAUCUUCGGAUGCACCAUCGACCGAUCCUGAUGUCUUCGGAUGGAUUUGAGUAAGAGCAUAGCUGUUGGGACCCGAAAGAUGGUGAACUAUGCCUGAAUAGGGUGAAGCCAGAGGAAACUCUGGUGGAGGCUCGCAGCGGUUCUGACGUGCAAAUCGAUCGUCAAAUUUGGGUAUAGGGGCGAAAGACUAAUCGAACCAUCUAGUAGC
rnacentral:rRNA from 1 species